UACAGAGGUCCCGAGCGUUGUUCGGAUUCAUUGGGCGUAAAGGGUGCGUAGGCGGCUUCCUAAGUUUGAUGUGAAAUCCUGGGGCUCAACCCUGGAACUGCAUUGAAUACUGGGAGGCUAGAGUACUGGAGAGGAAACUGGAAUUUACGGUGUAGCAGUGAAAUGCGUAGAGAUCGUAAGGAAGACCAGUGGCGAAGGCGGCUUUCUGGUCUGUAACUGACGCUGAGGCGCGAAAGCGUGGGGAGCAAACAGG
rnacentral:rRNA from 1 species